CGAUAAGGGGACCCCGAGUGCGAGGGCAUACAGUCCUCGCUUUUCAGUACCGUAGGGAGGUACUGGAAUAAGAGCUGGGCAAGACCGGUGCCAGCCGCCGCGGUAAUACCGGCAGCUCGAGUGAUGGCCGAUCUUAUUGGGCCUAAAGCGUUCGUAGCCGGCCACGCAAGUCCAUCGGGAAAUCCGCCAGCCCAACUGGCGGGCGUCCGGUGGAAACUGUGUGGCUUGGGACCGGAAGACCCGAAGGGUACGUCUUGGGUAGGAGUGAAAUCCCGUAAUCCUGGACGGACCGCCGAUGGCGAAAGCACUUCGGGAAGACGGAUCCGACGGUGAGGGACGAAAGCCAGGGUCUCGAACCGGAUUAGAUACCCGGGUAGUCCUGGCCGUAAACGAUGUCUGCUAGGUGUGACUCCCGCUACGAGCGGGUGUUGUGCCGUAGGGAAGCCGCUAAGCAGACCGCCUGGGAAGUACGUCCGCAAGGAUGAAACUUAAAGGAAUUGGCGGGGGAGCACUACAACCGGAGGAGCCUGCGGUUUAAUUGGACUCAACGCCGGACAUCUCACCAGCAUCGACAGCAGCAAUGACGAUCAGGUUGAUGACCUUGUCAGAGCUGUUGAGAGGAGGUGCAUGGCCGCCGUCAGCUCGUACCGUGAGGCGUCCUGUUAAGUCAGGCAACGAGCGAGACCCGCACUCCUAAUUGCCAGCACCGGGUUCGCCCGGGUGGGUACAUUAGGAGGACUGCCGUGGCCAACACGGAGGAAGGAACGGGCAACGGUAGGUCAGUAUGCCCCGAAUGUGCUGGGCUACACGCGGGCUACAAUGGCCGAGACAAUGGGUUCCAACCUCGAAAGAGGACGGUAAUCUCCUAAACUCGGUCGUAGUUCGGAUUGAGGGCUGAAACCCGCCCUCAUGAAGCUGGAUUCGGUAGUAAUCGCGUGUCAGCAGCGCGCGGUGAAUACGUCCCUGCUCCUUGCACACACCGCCCGUCAAAGCACCCGAGUGGGGUCCGGAUGAGGCCGAGUCCUCGGUCGAAUC
rnacentral:rRNA from 1 species